rnacentral:rRNA from 1 species
CAGCCGCCGCGGUAAUACGUAGGUGGCAAGCGUUGUCCGGAAUUAUUGGGCGUAAAGGGCUCGCAGGCGGUUUCUUAAGUCUGAUGUGAAAGCCCCCGGCUCAACCGGGGAGGGUCAUUGGAAACUGGGAAACUUGAGUGCAGAAGAGGAGAGUGGAAUUCCACGUGUAGCGGUGAAAUGCGUAGAGAUGUGGAGGAACACCAGUGGCGGAGGCGACUCUCUGGUCUGUAACUGACGCUGAGGAGCGAAAGCGUGGGGAGCGAACAGGAUUAGAUACCCCAGUAGUCCCUGUCUCUUAUAC